rnacentral:rRNA from 1 species
CUAAGAAUCUUGCGCAAUGGGCGAAAGCCUGACGCAGCAAUUCCGCGUGGGGGACGAAGGCCCUCGGGUCGUAAACCCCUUUUGUGAGGGAAGAAGUUCUGACGGUACCUCACGAAUAAGACACGGCUAACUACGUGCCAGCAGCCGCGGUAAUACGUAGGUGUCGAGCGUUGUCCGGAUUUAUUGGGCGUAAAGAGCCCGCAGGCGGCUUGGUAAGUUCGAGGUGAAAUCUCCCGGCUCAGCUGGGAGGGUGCCUCGAAAACUAUCAGGCUUGAGGCAGGGAGAGGGAUGUGGAAUUCCCGGUGUAGUGGUGAAAUGCGUAGAUAUCGGGAGGAACACCAGUGGCGAAGGCGGCAUCCUGGCCCUGUCCUGACGCUCAGGGGCGAAAGCGUGGGGAGCAAACC